UUGAACUCCCGGACCGUGAGAUCAUGACCCGAGCUGAAGUCGGCCGCUUAACCGACUGGGCCCCCCAGGCCCCCCAGGUCCAUGCCACUUCUAUAAGGAUUUCAACUCUUCAAGUUUAGAGAGUUGUUGCAAGAUCAUUAUCAGUACAUUGGACAGUACCUGGCUGAAUGGGCCAGGGCUCAGCAAUGAUCCUUAUGCAAUUACUUUAACUUUGCCGAAGUGGAUGUUGAAGUUCACAUUUCACAGUGAAGUUCACAGUUGAAGUUCACCACAGCCUUUCUCUUUUCACUGGCAUUUUUCCUGUUUUGCCCCAUUUAAAAGGAAAACGGGUGCCUGGCUGGCUCAGAGCAUGCGACUCUUGAUCUCAGGGUUGUAAGUUGAAGCCCCACUUUAGGUGUAGAGAUUAUUAAAAAAAAAAGAUUUCUUAAUCAAUCAAUCAAUAAAUGGAACACAAAACCCACGACUCUUCCUUUCCUUCUGGCCUUAUUCUGCUUCCUUUCAUUGUUUUUCUUCAUUGUUCUUAUAUUGGGUGAUGGGUCUACUAUUUGCUUUCUAAUUGUGCUGGUUUAACUUGUAUAUAUAUGCUACACAUAUUCUUUUGUGUAUAUAGCAGAUACUAUGUCUUUUCUAGAGAAUAAUCUCUUUGCUUAUAUUCUCCAUGUUCAUUUCUCACUUGCUUCGCCUGCUUUUAACUCCAGUUUUUCCUCUAUUUCUUCAUAAUAUAUGGACUUUCUGUGUAUGUUUCUCUUGACAUCAGUCAGAGGAGGAGUCACGCAGUAUUAUGUUGUGGAGAGAUUAGUAAAGUCAGAAGACAUGCCAUUUGCACAUUGAAGGUGGAUACGCUCAUUUGCCUGGGAUAAUUGUGAGGCUGAAAUUAGAUGUACUCUGUAGAAUGUAAAGAACUGUAUAAAUGUAAGGCGUUAUCACAGUGAUAAUAUAAAGACUUUGACUUACCCACAGUAACACGAGUAGUCCUAACUGGAACAUCAGACUAUGACGUUUUUAGUGAUUGGAAACACUCUCAAAUACCUUGUGUGCCUCUCUCUUGCUUGAGAAUUUUCUUCAUGACUCCUGCUGGGCCUUGGUGAUAUUCCACCUCUGCUGCUCUGUCACUGUAACUAGAAUGUGGGAUGUGGGCACUGGGAGGAAUUGUUGUGACCCUGAGGACUUGCUUCCUUAGCGUUUGCCUUUUCCUGGGCCUUUUUUCACUUCUCCCCCUUUUUCUGUUACUUGCUGCUCCUCUUUGAGCUUCUUGACUCUCAUACCCUAUAGCCCGGCCUUUUAUAUUCCUUAGUCAGUUAGAAUACUCUUCCUCUGACUUGGCUGGCUGAACAGAGUGUCCCCUAAUCUUUGGGCUUUUGAUUCUUUUUUUGUGGUGACUUGAAACAGUUUCUUCUUCCUCUCCCUCCCUUGCCUUCAGAGCAUUUUUUCCCUUUUGUUUUUUUUUUUAACCCCCUCUUCUAAUACCAGAGCUCAUAAAACUUGUCAAUAACCAAGGGAAAUCAAAAAGGCAGAGGUUGUACUUGGGACAUAUUGUAGUUAGGGCACAAUUUCAGGUUCGCCCCAGCUGCAGCGUAGUAGUUACCAGCAGAACGAAGAGGAAACUUGACAGCAGAGGAGAAAAACAGAAAGUUGAUAAGUAGAAGCAGUGAGACCCUGGCAACCACCAUUCUGCCUUUGGUCUUUAUGAAUUUGACUGCUCCAGAUACCUGAUAGAGGUGAAGCCCGACAGUGUUUGUCUUUUUGUGACUGGCUUAUUUCACUUAGCAUAAUGUCUUCCAGGUUCCAUGUUGAAGUGUGUGUCAGACUUCAUUCCUUUUUAUGGCUGAAUAAUAUUCCAUUGCACAUACAUACCACAGUUUAUUCACCCACUGAUGCACAUUUAGCUUGGUUCUCCUUUUUGGCUACGGUGAAUAGUGCUACUCUGAACAUUCAUGCACUCAGAUUUAAGUACCUGUUUUCAGUUCUUUGGGCUGUAUACCUAGGAGUGGAGUUUCUGGGUCAUGGGGCAGUUCCCUUUGUAACUUUUUGGGGAACUGCCAAGCUGUUUUUCACAGUGACUAAACCAUUUUACAUUCCCACCAGCAAUACACAGCGUUCCAGUUUCUCUGUAUUCUUUAUAACGCUUUUCAUAUUUUGGAUGACCCAGCCUAAUGGAUGUGAAGGAAUGUCUUGUGACCUUUAUUUGCAUUCUCCAGUAACUAAUGAUGUUAAAUAGAUUUUCGUGUGCCUGGUGGUCAUUUUUAUAUCUUUGGAAAAAUUUCUGUUUAAGCUUUUGGUUCACUGCAGCAGUUAAGCAGGGUCAUAACCAUGUGCAGAGCCAAGCCCCUCCUAGAGUGUGGGUUCUAUGAUGAAAAAGAGUAAAGAAUCUGUCUGUCUGACCUGUGCUGUGUGAAAAGGCUGAAGUGGUUGGCAUAAAUAAUGUGUAUUGUGGAAAGGUAGAUUUGGCUUUUUAAACAGAGACUUAACUUAGUUUUUUAUGCUCCAUUUCAUUUCACUAAGGUUUGAGGAGGGUUCAUGGUAGAUGUGCUAAAAUGCAGAAGUCUAAGUAAAAGAGAAAAAUUAGAAUCAAAGGAAAAUUAACUAGACUGGGGAGAAGAACAUCAUUGGACAUUGCUAGAUGGAGAGGAAAUGUAUAGCAGUUGGUAUAGGAUUAUGGGUGAUACAAUAUUUUCUUCUUUGUAUAUGACUUCAUUUUUUUAACAUCUAACAUAUAUUGCUUUAGUAAGGAGAAAAUUUUACUAGAGUAUUAAAAUUCUGAACGCAUCUGUCAGAGUUGCUGCUUUAUCCACACUGAUACAUCAUCCAUUCUCAUGGUUUUAUCUGCUAUGGCACUUGUGUUCAACCUGUCCUUCUUCCCUGAAUUUCAGGUGCUCCUGCUGCCCAGUGUGCACCGCCCCCCAUCCUGUCUGAGUCUGGGACCCAGAAGGGCACCUUCCAGCCUGGGCUCCCCAGCCGCACACUUUGCAUGAUUUCUCUCUCUGCCUUUUCUUUUCUGUUCGGCUCAGGGCUCAUUGCUACCGGCACUCAUCCCAGAUGAGCGCCCCCCCCCUCCGCCCCCCGCGCUGGGAUGGGGGUGGGUGCAGGGCCAGGGAUUCCCCUGACUUCUUGCACUCUUUCUGUGCUGACUUGGGAUCCUUCUCUCACUCUUGGGUGGCCUCUACCUGGCUCUGUCAUGCUCACCACUGUGUUUAUGGCACUGUGUCUGUGCGCUUUUAUCCUCCCCUGGAUGAGGUCAUAGACUUCUUCGGUGUUUGUCCCCAUGCCUAGCAGAGUGUAUGGUGCAGAGGUGGCCCAACACCUGGCUAUUAAAUUAAUAAAUCAGGUUUUGGCUAUCAUGAGUGCAAACUGGUGGAUGUGGCCUGGAUCAUACAUGUGGCUGUGUUUGUGUACCUCCCCGUGCUUGGAAACAGGAUAUUUCACAUAAAAAUCCCUACCUCCGUGUUCUGAAAAUACGAGAGUAUCUGGCCCCCUGCAUCAGCAUCCCUCUGCCUUGGCUGUUCACUAACCCCGGUUGUGGUUGUGGCCCCUUCCAUCCCCUUCAUCUCACAGGAGACCUGCUCUACUCGUGUCACCUGCUGUCCCUUUGAGACACUUGGGAUUAGGUGGAAUCCAGAGGAAGGAUGGAUGCCUUAUAACCAGAUCUGUCUGUCUCCUGUCGGUCUUUUGGGAGAAGGUGGGCAGCAGGCAGAGGUUUUGGUUUCUGGUGUAUUUCUGCAGUUCUGUCUUUAUGUGAGGGUGGUUAAGGACAGAGCUUUAAACUUUCGUGUAUACAUACACAAAGUGCUAGUGAGUUGACUUUCCAAAGACAUUAGCAGAGUGACUGUCCUAAUAACACAAGUUCAAAUCAAAUGACAUGUUUAGUUAUGGGAAAGUCUAUCAUUCUUUUUUAUUUUUUUCCUUAAAGAUUUAUUUAUUUUAGAGAGAGAGCGCAAGCAGGGAAAGGACAGAGAGAAAGGGAGACAGAAGACCCGAAGUGAGCUCUGCACUGACAGCAGUGAGCCCUAUGCGGGGCUCGAAUCCAUGAACCGUGAGAUCAUGACCUGAGCAGAAGUCAGACGCUCAACCGACUGAGCCACCCAAGCACCCUGAAAGUUUAUCAUUCUGAAGUUCCUAAAUUCCUUUUUGGAGUUUUUGACGUGUAAUUUGUAUGUCGAUGUAUGGUUUUUGGUUAAAAUAAACAUGUCUUACCUUCA